rnacentral:rRNA from 1 species
CGGCAGGCUUAAACAUGCAAGUCGAGGGGUAUAGGUUUUCGGACCUAGAGACCGGCGCACGGGUGCGUAACGCGUAUGCAAUCUACCUUUCACAGAGGGAUAGCCCAGAGAAAUUUGGAUUAAUACCUCAUAGUAUAACGACUCGGCAUCGAGAUGUUAUUAAAGUCACAACGGUGAAAGAUGAGCAUGCGUCCCAUUAGCUAGUUGGUAUGGUAACGGCAUACCAAGGCGACGAUGGGUAGGGGUCCUGAGAGGGAGAUCCCCCACACUGGUACUGAGACACGGACCAGACUCCUACGGGAGGCAGCAGUGAGGAAUAUUGGACAAUGGGCGCAAGCCUGAUCCAGCCAUGCCGCGUGCAGGAUGACGGUCCUAUGGAUUGUAAACUGCUUUUGCACAGGAAGAAACAACUCUACGUGUAGAGUCUUGACGGUACUGUGAGAAUAAGGAUCGGCUAACUCCGUGCCAGCAGCCGCGGUAAUACGGAGGAUCCAAGCGUUAUCCGGAAUCAUUGGGUUUAAAGGGUCCGUAGGCGGUCUUAUAAGUCAGUGGUGAAAUCUCCCCGCUCAACGGGGAAACGGCCAUUGAUACUGUAGGACUUGAAUUAUUAGGAAGUAACUAGAAUAUGUAGUGUAGCGGUGAAAUGCUUAGAGAUUACAUGGAAUACCAAUUGCGAAGGCAGGUUACUACUAAUGGAUUGACGCUGAUGGAC